ACCAUGUGGCGUAGUGGUUUGAGUGUUGGACUACAACUCUGGAGACCUGAGUUCGAAUCCCUGCUCAGCCAUGGAA
rnacentral:tRNA from 1 species